GAGCACUGCUGUGGAUUCGCUGGUGUCCUGUCUCCUUGGAAACCGACACCAAUUCCUGCUGCUGCUGCUGCUGUUGGCCGUAUGCUGCUGAUCCAGGGAUUCCAAAGCCCUUCACAGGCUCAUGAAACAAUGCUUCUCCUACCACAGCCACCUCUGGGAUGGAACACGCCAGAGAGUAACAGUUUCCCAAAAUGGACUGAUAUGAUCAUGAAUGUAGCAUUGGUGCUGCAGGCAAGAAUCCCCAGUUAUUUCAAAGUGCUGCACCUGUGUAAUCUGAGGGGAUGGGAAAGAUGUCUAUUCUGAGCAAGUCUCUAAUCAUGUAAUUAAACUGGAUGCUUUCUGGGGCAUGGAUCGUCUUUCUCUAUAUGUUUGUACAGCAUCUGGCAUGCCGAGUGCUCAGCCUCUUGGCCUCUGGACACUGCUGCAGUAAAGCUGUUUAAUAAUAUUCACAUGGCCAAAUUCUGAUCUCUGUUACCCCAUGUAAAUCCCUAGUGACUCUUAGUAACUUCAGUGGAGUUACUUUGGAUUUACACCAACGUCACAGUAGAGAAUUUGGCCCUUAAAGUUGAACAUGCAACCUUAACCAUGGUAUUUCCUGUCUUGUGCAGCUAUGAGAUUCUCUUACUGUUGUUUUUGUGUAAUAAUUCUGUGUAACCAAAUGUAUGCGAGAAACAAACGUGCAUUUCCUGAUGCCCAUGAGAAAUUAGUGAAUUUAACCACGAAGCUGUGCACAUCCCCUAACCGAGACACUUGUGAUGCUGCUGUAACCUGCCUUCUUCUCUGUCCUGCCCUUCUCUACUAUUUCUUACUUCCAUCUACUGCAUCCUGUCUGAAAUGAGUCCCUGAUCCUGCAAAUGGCCUCCAUGGAUUCAGGGGUUCUCUUGCACAGAUCCACUGCUUUGGGGCAGGAACCUUUGUAUUUGCUCUGGGAAGUGCCUCAUGUACUUGUGAGUGCUGAAAAAUCAUCACCCCAGGCUCCAUUCCACUGGUUUGCCAUGAGAGCUCAGUUGUACUUACCUAAAUCCAGAGACUGGAUUGUUUGGUGACACGCUGGGGAGAAGGGUUUUUAUUUUUAAUCCUAUUUUCAUAAAGUUUAGCGCAUUCCAGUCAGUUGCUGAGAAUAAUUGAACAGAGAGGAGCCAAUACUUCUUUGUUACAUAAUGAUUAUUUUUAUAACAGAGGAGUAGAUGUUUUCUCACUAAAACAAAGUCCUGUUUGUGUUGCUUAGUAGUGACUGGUUACUAUGAUCUCAUGUCUGAGCUAACUGGGCUCCUUGGGUGGUUGCUUUCUGGCCCUUUUAGGAUAUGUGGCAUAUACUGGUGGUGCUGCUGGGAUCCAGGAAGGAUGAGUCCCAGGUUCCCCUUUAUACCCGGUAUUGUUAGCUGCCCCACUUUCUCUUCUGGAUGCUUACAGCCAGAUUCUGUUCUGCACUUUUCAGGAGAUAACGCACAUAUGCCAUGGCCCAGGA